GUGGGGAAUCUUGCGCAAUGGGCGAAAGCCUGACGCAGCCAUGCCGCGUGAAUGAUGAAGGUCUUAGGAUUGUAAAAUUCUUUCACCGGGGACGAUAAUGACGGUACCCGGAGAAGAAGCUCCGGCUAACUUCGUGCCAGCAGCCGCGGUAAUACGAAGGGGGCUAGCGUUGCUCGGAAUUACUGGGCGUAAAGGGCGCGUAGGCGGACAGCUUAGUCAGAGGUGAAAGCCCAGGGCUCAACCUUGGAAUUGCCUUUGAUACUGGCUGUCUUGAGUUUGGGAGAGGUGAGUGGAACUCCGAGUGUAGAGGUGAAAUUCGUAGAUAUUCGGAAGAACACCAGUGGCGAAGGCGACUCACUGGCCCAAUACUGACGCUGAGGCGCGAAAGCGUGGGGAGCAAACAGGAUUAGAAACCCUGGUAGUC
rnacentral:rRNA from 1 species